UAUGGUUCGGUGAAAAGUGAUGGAAGAAAGAAGUGUUGUCCUCUAUAAUAGGUGGUUUCCUGAGAUUGCCCAAGUUGGAACAGCACCUUAACUAGUUCUUUAUCAAAUAUAAAUUUGAAGCUAACUGAUGUGCCAAGAACUCAACGAUGAUGUAAUGCCAUGAAAGCAAUGCAAAGGCUGCCCAUCUGAGAGUCUGAAGCAAAGAGAACUGUUGGGCCAGGGGAUGCAUAACAUGGCCUGGAAAGGGUUGUGCCUUGUGUUGAACCAGCUGGCUUGGAGGACAGUU
rnacentral:lncRNA from 1 species